AGAUAAGCUACUAAGGGCACACGGUGAAUGCCUUGGCGCUAGGAGCCGAUGAAGGACGGGACGAACACCGAUAUGCUUCGGGAAGCUGUAAGUGAGCGUUGAUCCGAAGAUUUCCGAAUGGGGCAACCCACUCGCUGGAAGAGCGAGUACACCUACCUGAAUCCAUAGGGUGGAGUGAGGCAGACCAGGGGAACUGAAACAUCUAAGUACCCUGAGGAACAGAAAGCAAACGCGAUUCCCUGAGUAGCGGCGAGCGAAACGGGAUUAGCCCAAACCAAAGGCUUGCCUUUGGGGUUGUAGGGCGUCUCAUAUGGAGUCAGAAAAGCGAUGGAUAGAUGAAGUGGUUCUGGAAAGACCCGCCAGAGUGAGUGAUAGCCUCGUAGUCGAAAUCCGUUGCUCUCCGAGACCAACCCUGAGUACCGCGGGACACGUGAAACCCUGUGGGAAGCUGGGAGGACCACCUCCCAAGGCUAAAUACUACCUAGCGACCGAUAGCGAACCAGUACCGUGAGGGAAAGGUGAAAAGUACCCCGGAAGGGGAGUGAAACAGUACCUGAAACCGUGUGCUUACAAUCAGUCAGAGUCUGUAUCUUCUGAUACGGAUGAUGGCGUGCCUUUUGCAGGAUGAACCGGCGAGUAAUGGUGUCGUGCAAGGUUAAAGCGAUAAGCUGGAGCCGUAGCGAAAGCGAGUCUGAAUAGGGCGAUUCAGUACGACGUCAUUGACCCGAAACCGAGUGAUCUACCCAUGUCCAGGGUGAAGUUCCGGUAACACGGAAUGGAGGCCCGAACCCACUUAUGUUGAAAAAUGAGGGGAUGAGGUGUGGGUAGGGGUGAAAUGCCAAUCGAACUCGGAGAUAGCUGGUUCUCCCCGAAAUAGCUUUAGGGCUAGCCUUGAUGUUGCGAGUCAUGGAGGUAGAGCACUGAUUGGGUGAGGGGCCCUUCCCGGGUUACCGAGCUCAGUUAAACUCCGAAUGCCAUCGACUUACCAUCAGGAGUCAGACUAUGGGUGCUAAGAUCCAUGGUCGAAAGGGAAACAGCCCAGAUCACCAGCUAAGGUCCCCAAGUAUACGUUCAGUGGAAAAGGAUGUGGAGUUGCGAAGACAACCAGGAUGUUGGCUUAGAAGCAGCCAUCAUUCAAAGAGUGCGUAAUAGCUCACUGGUCGAGUGACUCUGCGCCGAAAAUGUAUCGGGGCUAAACGUAUCACCGAAGCUGUGGAUAGUCAAGCUUCGCUUGGCUAUGGUAGGGGAGCGUUCCAAGGGCGUUGAAGUCGUUUUGUAAGAAACGGUGGAGCGCUUGGAAGUGAGAAUGCCGGUAUGAGUAGCGAAAAGAGGGGUGAGAAUCCCCUCCACCGAAAGCCUAAGGUUUCCUGAGCAAGGCUCGUCCGCUCAGGGUUAGUCGGGACCUAAGCCGAGGCCGAAAGGCGUAGGCGAUGGACAACAGGUUGAGAUUCCUGUACCACCUCGAUCCAUUUGACCGAUGGGGGGACGCAGGAGGAUAGAGAUUCGCGCGACUGGAUGUGCGCGUCCAAGCAGUGAGGCUAAGAGAUAGGCAAAUCCGUCUCUUUUUAAAGCCAAGCUGUCACGGGGAGGGAAAUUUAUAGUACCGAAGUUCUUGAUUCCACACUGCCAAGAAAAGCCUCUAGGGAGGAGACAGGUGCCCGUACCGCAAACCGACACAGGUAGGCGAGGAGAGAAUCCUCAGGUGCUCGGGAAAACUCUCGUUAAGGAACUCGGCAAAAUGACCCCGUAACUUCGGGAGAAGGGGUGCCCCGUGUAGUGUACCUUCGGGUGCGCGAGGGGGCCGCAGUGAAUAGGCCCAGGCGACUGUUUAGCAAAAACACAGGUCUCUGCGAAGCCGUAAGGCGAUGUAUAGGGGCUGACGCCUGCCCGGUGCUGGAAGGUUAAGGGGAUGGGUUAGCUUUUGCGAAGCUCUGAACUGAAGCCCCAGUAAACGGCGGCCGUAACUAUAACGGUCCUAAGGUAGCGAAAUUCCUUGUCGGGUAAGUUCCGACCCGCACGAAAGGCGUAACGAUCUGGGCGCUGUCUCGACGAGAGACCCGGUGAAAUUGUAUUGCUAGUGAAAAUGCUAGCUACCCGCGACAAGACGGAAAGACCCCGUGGAGCUUUACUGCAGCUUGAUAUUGAAUUGGGGUGUGGCUUGUACAGGAUAAGUGGGAGUCUGCGAAUCCGGCGCGCUAGCGUCGGGGGAGACAUCGGUGGGAUACCACUCUGGUCACAUCCGAAUUCUAACUCACGCCCGUCAUCCGGGCGGAGGACCGUGUCAGGUAGGCAGUUUGACUGGGGCGGUCGCCUCCUAAAAGGUAACGGAGGCGCUCGAAGGUUCCCUCAGCGCGGUUGGAAAUCGCGCCGAUAGAGUGCAAAGGCAGAAGGGAGCUUGACUGCGAGACUGACAAGUCGAGCAGGGACGAAAGUCGGACUUAGUGAUCCGGUGGUUCCGUGUGGAAGGGCCAUCGCUCAACGGAUAAAAGCUACCCCGGGGAUAACAGGCUAAUCUCCCCCAAGAGUCCACAUCGACGGGGAGGUUUGGCACCUCGAUGUCGGCUCAUCGCAUCCUGGGGCUGUAUUCGGUCCCAAGGGUUGGGCUGUUCGCCCAUUAAAGCGGUACGCGAGCUGGGUUCAGAACGUCGUGAGACAGUUCGGUCCCUAUCUGUCGUGGGCGUAGGAAAUUUGAGAGGAGCUGUCCCUAGUACGAGAGGACCGGGAUGGACAUACCUCUGGUGUACCAGUUGUUUUGCCAAAAGCAUCGCUGGGUAGCCAUGUGUGGACGGGAUAAGCGCUGAAAGCAUCUAAGCGCGAAGCCCCCCUCAAGAUGAGAUUUCCCAUCCUUUUGGAGUAAGACCCCUUGUAGAUGACAAGGUAGAUCGGUCUGAGGUGUACGUGUGGUAACACACUUAGCUGACAGAUACGAAUCGGUCGAGGGCUUAUCUAA
rnacentral:rRNA from 1 species